GCUGCUCUGGUCUAAUGGUAGGGCGUCUUGCUUAUCGGGAGUAAGAAGAUGUGCGUUCGAUCCGCGCGGGUAGCA